CCGCCAUUUUGUGUGGGAGAGAGAGGGGCGGUGCGGAGCGGAGCGAGCUCUGAGGGCGGGGGUCGGACGGUGACGGCGGAGCAGCGCGGGGUCGGUUCCCGAAGGGCCGUGUGUGUGUCCGUGCUUGUGGGCGAGCGGAGCGGACAGAAGUCGCAGGACUUCUCCCUUGGAGCUUCUGUGCCGAGAAUCCGAUGUUGGGCUCGGCUCCUUGGCUGAAGACAGCACAUCAGCCCAUGAAAACUUCUAUUCCCAGCCAAAGGAAGGAGUCCAGCACAAGGCAGCACCUGUUCUUUCAGGCUUGGAAGCAAGAAAGGGGACAAGAGUUGGAGAGUGUGGAAUCGGAGAAGACCACUGAGAGGUGACAUUUAAGUUGAAGAUGGGCGGUGGAGAAAGAUACAACAUUCCCAUUCCCCAGGCUAGAAAUACCACCAAGAACCAUCAACAACUUAAGAACAGGCAGAAGAACAAGGAGCAGAAUUCUCAGAUGAAAACCUGUGUGAAGAAGGAAAGAGGCCACGGCUGCAGCUCCUCUCCUGGUGCAUGGCAGGCCAUGCAGAAAGGGGGGAAGAACAACAUUCCCUUCCCCAAGAAUCCCAACUGGAAUCCUGCUCUGUCCAAUCACAAUUUGUUGUUCACCCCUCAGAGCAACCAGAACUAUGCUGGGGCCAAGUUCAGCGAGCCACCCUCCCCAAGUGUUCUGCCUAAGCCACCAAGCCACUGGGUACCUGUUUCUUUCAAACCUUCUGAUAAAGAAAUAAUGACAUUUCAGCUCAAAACCUUACUGAAAGUCCAGGCUUGAAGUGUUAAUUUGUGUGAUUUUCAGAAGUGAUUUUGACUGUCAGGGUUUUAGAUUUGAGCAUUGCUGUUCCCAACUCCAGCUGCACAGGUGUGCAGGACCAGGUGUUCUUGCUGCAUGUAGUUAGUCACUUGGAGAGGGGUGAAAAGUUUACAUUCCCCUCAUAUUUUACCUCAAAAGUUCAAUGCUGUGUUCACCUCACUGUGAAAUACCUAUUUUCUUGAAAAUCAAUCAAAUCCUGAGCAGUCACCAUUUAAUGUAUUAAAACAAAAAAAAAAUGGGACUGUGUUCCAAAAUUGGAGUAGUGACUUUAAAUUGUUAAGAAAACCACCUUUUACCUAACUUAAUGCAGCAUGAACUGAAAAUAAAAAACGCACUGAAAACUUUA